CCUGGCUUCUUUUUGCUCAAGGCUAGCACUCUACCACUUGAGCCACAGCGCCAUUUCUGGCCUUUUCUAUAUAUGUGGUGCUGAGGAAUCAAACCCAAGGCUUCAUGUACACGAGGCAAGAACACUACCACUAUGCGAUAUUCUCAGCCCCACAGACUAGCAUUUAAACAAGAGCUAUUAUAUAAGCCUGGUAACACUACUGAAUACUAGGAUCUAAAUACACAGAUCAAGUAAUGUUAAAUGAACUGAAAUGGAGAUAAGCGUCACUCAAUGAAGAAGUUAACAGAUUGCAACUAGCCCAACUAUACAUUAAGUAACAGGAGGAAUGAAAUCAUUUAAACAUAAAGAACAAAAAAUAAACAGCAUUAUUGAGCUCUUAAGUCACACUCCAAUUUUUACACAAGUAAAAAAGUGCUCCUCCAUCAUUUACAGAGAUACGCCAAACAAUUAUGCUUAUUACCUCAUAGCAAAUAUG